rfam:Physcomitrella patens subsp. patens PHYPAscaffold_177 genomic scaffold, whole genome shotgun sequence.
GAAUGUGAUGAGGAAGAAUUGUCGCCCCAGUCCUAUGUGAGUUUACAAGCUCCGUGAGGAUUGACUUUUCAAUAAUCUGAUUC